GAUGAACGCUGGCGGCGUGCCUAAUACAUGCAAGUCGGGCGAACGGACGAGAAGCUUGUUUCUCUGAUGUUAGCGGAGGACGGGUGAGUCACACGUGGAAAACCUACCUAUCAGACUGGGAUAACUUCGAGAAACCGGCGCUUAUUCCGGACAAUCUUUUGAACUGCAUUGAUCAACAGUGAAAGACGGUCUUGCUGUCUCUUCUCGAUGGAUCCGCGCUGCAUUAUCUAGUUGGUAAGGUAACGGGUUACCAAGGCAACGAUGCAUAGCCGACGUGAGAGGGUGAUCGGCCACACUGGAACUGAGACACGGACCAGACGCCUACGAGAGGCAGCAGUAGGGAGUCUGCCGCAAUGGGCGAAAGCCUGACGGAGCAACGCCGCGUGAGAGAUGAAGGUCUUCGGAUCGUAAAACUCUGUUAUGAGGGAAGAACAUAUGUGUAAGGAACAGUGCACAACGUGACGGUACCUAAUCAGAAAGCCACGGCUAACUACGUG
rnacentral:rRNA from 1 species